GAGACCCCCGGACCUGCCCGCCCCGAACUAGGCAAAGUCCCGCGAAGAGGUGAAGAGGUGGUGCCUCCGCCUCUCACGGGGCUCUGCCACUAGGAGUCCAGGAAAAGGGGGUGUCUUGUCCGCUGAUGGUUCCCGCUAAUAGGCAAACACCAGGAAAGUGUAGCCCCUCCCCUCCGCUUCGCGCUCUUUCUGGGAGGAGCCUGGGGAGGGAGGGUCCUGCCCACUGGCCCCGCCCUGCGCUAGGCGGAAGCCCCCGAAGUGUCAGCGCCGCUUCGUGGAGCCUGGCGACUGUUUUGGGAAGUCCUGCUGGCAGGCACUCUGCCCCUGGGGGUGUGCAAAGCGUUGUCCAGUUACCUCGAUCUUCUCACAGCCUCCUCCCCAGGGUACCAGGAGAGACCAGGAUUGGAGGACGGUAAAGAACACACUUCCCAGAGGAUUCUUGGAGGGCCGUUCUGUCUCAGACCUGGAGACCCCGCACCCAGGGCGCUCAGGAACUCCCCCGACCCACGAGGAGCCUCUCCUGGUGUCUCCCAGGGAUUGUCAGUAGUUCCAUUUUCCCUGAAGAACUUGUUUUCAGGUGGCUUCCUCCAGGCAGUAAAUCUACAGCCCAGGCUCCCUGCACCUUGUGGCUCCAAUCAGUUUGGAUCUCAUUGUCGCCUGCACAUCGCCAUACACAGGGAAGGAGAGAAGAUGGAGAAGGCAAAGACUUUCUGAAAGCCGUGGCUAAAAACUGGCAUGUGUCACAUCAGCUCACAUUCCAUUGGUGAGAACAUAGAAUAUGUAAGGCAAAGAGAAACCCAGGAAACUACCGCGUGCCGUUCUUAGAUCUCUCCAUCCCUAGCUGGUCUGCCUUCUUCUCUCCACAUUUCUGAGUUUUUCUUCUUUGCUUAAUUUACAAUGUCCAGGGUGUUUUAGUGAGAGAGAUCUUCCCUAACACACCCUGCACAGCAGUUGCUCCAUAUCCUUUUAAUAUAUUCCUUUUUUUGUGGUUAGAAUUGAAAUAAUUAAUGGUUACUACUACCAAAACCCCUAAAUAUUAGGUACCUUGAUGGAAGGGAAAAAUGCAAAUGACAGACUUGUAGCAAAAGUU